GUGCCAGCCGCCGCGGUAAGACGAACCGUGCAAACGUUAUUCGGAAUCACUGGGCUUAAAGAGUCCGUAGGCGGCGCGUUAGGUGGGGUGUGAAAUCCCUCGGCUCAACCGAGGAAUUGCGCUCCAAACCGGCGUGCUUGAGGAAGGUAGAGGUGAGCGGAACUGAUGGUGGAGCGGUGAAAUGCGUUGAUAUCAUCAGGAACACCGGAGGCGAAGGCGGCUCACUGGGCCUUAUCUGACGCUGAGGGACGAAAGCUAGGGUAGCGAACGGGAUUAGAUACCCGCGUAGUCC
rnacentral:rRNA from 1 species